AUACGGAGGGGGUUAGCGUUGUUCGGAAUUACUGGGCGUAAAGCGCGUGUAGGCGGCUUGGUAAGUCAGGUGUGAAAGCCCUUAGCUCAACUAAGGAAAGUCAUCUGAAACUGCCAGGCUUGAGUACGAGAGAGGAGAGUGGAAUUCCCGGUGUAGAGGUGAAAUUCGUAGAUAUCGGGAGGAACACCCGUGGCGAAGGCGACUCUCUGGACCGAUACUGACGCUGAGACGCGAAAGCGUGGGGAGCAAACAGAAUUAGAUACCCCAGUAGUCC
rnacentral:rRNA from 1 species